rnacentral:rRNA from 1 species
CAACAUAUAUAUAAUAUUAUCUAGGCCUAUACCCGAACCCAUACCGAAUUCGAGAGUCCUUGUCUAGGUAGCCAAAACUACUGGGUUGACCGGGAAUCAUGGCUUGGGGAAUAUAACUCAAUCAGGUAGAGUGUAUG